GGGAUCUUAGCUCAGCUGGGAGAGCAUCUGCCUUACAAGCAGAGGGUCACAGGUUCGAGCCCUGUAGGUCCCA
rfam:Clostridium sp. CAG:62 genomic scaffold, scf105